GCCUAUAUGUCCUUUUGG
rnacentral:snRNA from 1 species